GGCUGUUUACACUUGGGCCGGAUAUCACUAUGUUAUUCUUGGAGAGUACGACCGCUCGUCCAAUGCUGAACCUGUUUAGGUCAUGAGAAUUGCCAAGCAAGUCCUCGUUACCUGCAGCAAGUUGCACUGCCCCUAUUAAGCAAAGCUCAGUGCCAGCAAUACUGGGGACAAAGAAUCACAGAUGCCAUGAUUUGUGCUGGGGCAUCUGGUGUCUCCUCCUGCCAGGGUGAUUCUGGUGGUCCUCUGGUGUGUGAGAGUCGAGGUACUUGGUUCCAGGCGGGUAUUGUGUCAUGGGGCACCUCAGACUGUAACGUUCGCACUCCAGCGGUCUACUCUCGUGUCACUUACCUGCGCCAGUGGAUCGACCAGACCGUGGCAUCCAACUAGAGCUCCAACCUGAGUGUUUUCUCUUCAAAACAAUAGGCAUCUGUCAUCUUUUAAAUUUACUUUGUCUGUUUGGAGUUACUGGUCCCACUAUGAUCUCUCAGAAAAGAAAUGCUAAUAAAAGUUUUUAAAACUA